UAAGCCAUGCAAGUCAUAUGUUCCUCGUGAACAUGGCAUACUGCUCAGUAACACGUGGAUAACCUGCCCUUGGGUCUGGGAUAACCCCGGGAAACUGGGGAUAAUAUCGGAUAACGCAUAUGUGCUGGAAUGCUUUAUGCGUAAAACGGAUUCGUCCGCCCAAGGAUGGGUCUGCGGCCUAUCAGGUAGUAGUGGGUGUAAUGUACCUACUAGCCAACAACGGGUACGGGUUGUGAGAGCAAGAGCCCGGAGAUGGAUUCUGAGACACGAAUCCAGGCCCUACGGGGCGCAGCAGGCGCGAAAACUUUACCAUGCGGGCAACCGUGAUAAGGAAACCCCGAGUGCCAGCACAGGCUGGCUGUCCGCCAGUUUAAACAACUGGCGAAGAAAGGGCCGGGCAAGACCGGUGCCAGCCGCCGCGGUAAUACCGGCGGCUCGAGUGGUGGCCGCUAUUACUGGGCUUAAAGGGUCCGUAGCUUGAUAAUAGGGUCCCUUGAGAAAUCCGCCGGCUUAACUGGCGGGCGUUCAGGGGAAACUUGUUUUCUAGGGACCGGGAGAGGUGAGGGGUACUGCCGGGGUAGGAGUGAAAUCCUGUAAUCCCGGUGGGACCACCUAUGGCGAAGGCAUCUCACCAGAACGGGUCCGACAGUGAGGGACGAAAGCUGGGGGAGCAAACCGGAUUAGAUACCCGGGUAGUCCCAGCUGUAAACUAUGUGCGUUAGGUGUGUCAGUGACCACGUGUCACUGAGGUGCCGAAGGGAAACCGUGAAACGCACCGCCUGGGGAGUACGGUCGCAAGGCUGAAACUUAAAGGAAUUGGCGGGGGAGCACCACAACGGGUGGAGCCUGCGGUUUAAUUGGACUCAACGCCGGAAAUCUCACCGGAUAGGACAGACAUAUGAUAGUCGGGCUGAAGACUCUACUUGAUGAUCUGAGAGGAGGUGCAUGGCCGUCGUCAGUUCGUACUGUGAAGCAUCCUGUUUAGUCAGGCAACGAGCGAGACCCA
rnacentral:rRNA from 1 species